rnacentral:lncRNA from 1 species
GGGCCCUACACAGAGGAGUAAAAAUCCAUUUUUAACACAUGGGCCUCAAAGGAAGCAGGGACUCACCCCUUAUUUCUGCCCAUUUUAUACCUACACUGGUUCCAUAAUUGAGGUAGAGACACUAAGAGGGGCAAGCAGAGCCCCACAAGGAAAGAGCCACCGUUAUGAGCGAGGAAGGCUCCAUGGUGAAAUUUGGCGUGGAAAGAUUCAAAAGUAUCUCUCCAGACAGAUUAAAAGGUAGGAGAAAGGGAGAGGAAACAAUUUGUACAAUGGAGGAAAUAAUUUGAGCCCAGACAUAAAAGGAAAUAAUGAGCAGACAGCAAAUAAAUAGUUCAAUAGGGCAAGAAAAUGAGGAGAUUGAGGGCAUGGAGAAAGAAAAGCAAUUCCAGCUUGUGUGAGGCAGAAAGGUGUGAAAGAACAUAGGGGUCAGGACAAUGUCCAGUAGUUGCUAGGUGAAGCACAGGAAGGAAUGUAGAGGAAAAUGAGGCUGGAAAAGGGGGAUGGCUGGACCACGGACAGGUGUGAAGAUCGGCUCAGUAGUCUGGCUCUCACCCUGCAAGUGGUGAUGGGAGCCCAUGGAAUUGUUACAGCAGCACAGCGACACUGUUAGAAAAUGCUGGAAGCUGGAGGCUGGAGAUACAGUGGGAUUGUACACUGGGUGAGCCAGAAGACAGGAGAGAAAACUCUGGGGAAUUCAAACACCAAACUCUGCCCCCAACCUCUACCAGUUUUGCUUCUCAGAUUGUGGUUCUAGACCACCUGUGUUCUACAAAUGCAGAAUCACUGAAUGUCAAGUAAGAGAAACUAAACACAAGGAUCACCCCAAGAUUUAAAAACUAUGUCCUAGCAAUUUGCUCAAUAAAUUUCCCAAGA